AUUGAACGCUGGCGGCAGGCCUAACACAUACAAGUCGAGCGGAUGAAGAGAGCUUGCUCUCUGAUUUAGCGGCGGACGGGUGAGUAAUGCCUAGGAAUCUGCCUGGUAGUGGGGGAUAACGUUCCGAAAGGAACGCUAAUACCGCGUACGUCCUACGGGAGAAAGCAGGGGACCUUCGGGCCGUGCGCUAUCAGAUGAGCCUGGGUCGGAUUAGCUAGUUGGUGAGGUAAUGGCUCACCAAGGCGACGAUCCGUAACUGGUCUGAGAGGAUGAUCAGUCACACUGGAACUGAGACACGGUCCAGACUCCUACGGGAGGCAGCAGUGGGGAAUAUUGGACAAUGGGCGAAAGCCUGAUCCAGCCAUGCCGCGUGUGUGAAGAAGGUCUUCGGAUUGUAAAGCACUUUAAGUUGGGAGGAAGGGCAGUAAGUUAAUACCUUGCUGUUUUGACGUUACCGACAGAAUAAGCACCGGCUAACUUCGUGCCAGCCGCCGCGGUAA
rnacentral:rRNA from 1 species